GUGGGGGAUAUUGGACAAUGGGGGGAACCCUGAUCCAGCGACGCCGCGUGAGUGAAGAAGUAUUUCGGUAUGUAAAGCUCUGUCAGCAGGGAAGAAAGAAAUGACGGUACCUGACCAAGAAGCCCCGGCUAACUACGUGCCAGCAGCCGCGGUAAUACGUAGGGGGCAAGCGUUAUCCGGAAUUACUGGGUGUAAAGGGAGCGUAGACGGUAGUGCAAGUCUGGAGUGAAAGGCAGGGGCCCAACCCCUGGACUGCUCUGGAAACUGCAUAACUAGAGUGCAGGAGAGGUAAGCGGAAUUCCUAGUGUAGCGGUGAAAUGCGUAGAUAUUAGGAGGAACACCAGUGGCGAAGGCGGCUUACUGGACUGUAACUGACGUUGAGGCUCGAAAGCGUGGGGAGCAAACAGG
rnacentral:rRNA from 1 species